UCAGGACGAACGCUGGCGGCGUGCCUAAUACAUGCAAGUCGAACGGCUUUUCUAUGGAAGCUUGCUUCCACUGAGAAGAGUAGUGGCGAACGGGUGAGUAACACGUGGGUAACCUGGCCCAUAAGAGGGGGAUAACAUCCGGAAACGGGUGCUAAUACCGCAUAGUUUUCUUGAUCGCAUGAUCGGGAAAGGAAAGACGGCCUUUGUGCUGUCGCUUAUGGAUGGACCCGCGGCGUAUUAGUUAGUUGGUGAGGUAACGGCUCACCAAGACGAUGAUACGUAGCCGACCUGAGAGGGUGAUCGGCCACAUUGGGACUGAGACACGGCCCAAACUCCUACGGGAGGCAGCAGUAGGGAAUCUUCCGCAAUGGACGAAAGUCUGACGGAGCAACGCCGCGUGAGUGAAAGAAGGUUUUCGGAUCGUAAAACUCUGUUGUCAGAGAAGAACAAGUUGGAGAGUAACUGCUCCAGCCUUGACGGUAUCUGACCAGAAAGCCACGGCUAACUACGUGCCAGCCGCGGC
rnacentral:rRNA from 1 species